AGUGAACGCUGGCGGUAGGCCUAACACAUGCAAGUCGAACGGCAGCACAGUAAGAGCUUGCUCUUACGGGUGGCGAGUGGCGGACGGGUGAGGAAUACAUCGGAAUCUACUUUUUCGUGGGGGAUAACGUAGGGAAACUUACGCUAAUACCGCAUACGACCUACGGGUGGAAGCAGGGGAUCUUCGGACCUUGCGCGAUUGAAUGAGCCGAUGUCGGAUUAGCUAGUUGGCGGGGUAAAGGCCCACCAAGGCGACGAUCCGUAGCUGGUCUGAGAGGAUGAUCAGCCACACGGGAACUGAGACACGGUCCAGACUCCUACGGGAGGCAGCAGUGGGGAAUAUUGGACAAUGGGCGCAAGCCUGAUCAAGCCAUACCGCGUGGGUGAAGAAGGCCUUCGGGUUGUAAAGCCCUUUUGUUGGGAAAGAAAAGCAGCAGGUUAAUACCCCGCUGUUCUGACGGUACCCAAAGAAUAAGCACCGGCUAACUUCGUG
rnacentral:rRNA from 1 species